rnacentral:lncRNA from 1 species
CACAGCCUCCCCUGCCCCCCUGUAGCGUGAGCUAAGGGAUAGCCUAGGUGAUUCGGGCUGGUUUCUGUAGUUAGCUGGGCCAAACUACCCAGUACCACUUCUCUCUUUUCUGUUUUCCUUUAGCUAGUCUUUUUUGUUUUUCUUUAUUUCUUUACUACUCUUCAUUUUAAUUGAGUGACCAAAUGAAUUUAGUAGAAUGUGAAACAUUGCCAAAAAUCCAGGGCAAUAUUGUUGAGCCACACAUAAGUUUGCAGAAUAUUUGGUUAAUGAUAAUUAUUUUUAGAAUUCAAAGUGGCCAAGUUAUGUGCUGUCGGACCACUUAUUAAUUUGUUAAGGGCAUUUUAAUAAUUCAACUUAGGUUGGUUAAUCCAUCACAAUUUCUUAUUGAAUAUUUUCCACACAACAAACAUUUUUGUUUUACUGUUGAAGAAAUAAAAUUUUGUCUUGCAAUUUCAAUUUCAACUUGGCUUUCAUUUGGGACAAAGCGAUGAUUAACAAAAUAAUUGUGAUGACUUGGAAGUCAUUAGCAGGAAGUUACCGCAGCAUGAUUAUCGGGGUGUUACAAAUCUCCUCCACUACAAGAAAUCUUGUCCCGAGAUUUAAGAGGCGCAAGGUGGGGAGGUUCUGGUUAUGAAAUUCUAGCGGAUUUUCUCGGUCUUAGUUGCUCUUCUCGAAGAGGUCAAUCCAUAGCGUUGAUGUCUUCAUUUCUCUGUUUCGGGUCAUCAUGAUGAAGUCGUCACCCUUUAUUCAGGAUCUCCAUUGUGCUUAGGGAAAGUUAAGUGGAAGAACUCGAGAAGGACAAAGCUCAACACAUGUUAGGUACCUACGGGCUAUCUUAGUGAACGAGGUAUAGAGGCAUCUCUUGAGUUGACAUUCAAGAAAGUCAUCGAGAGUAGAGUAAGAAGGUGUAAUAAGAAGUUUCAAGCAGAUAGGUAAUCGUUCGUUGUCUGAAACGGAAUGUGAGAGUGGUUAAGACCUAUUGGAAUAAGUGUUGUGUCUGAUAACAGAAUUGAUGAUCUCUCGGAAGGUGGCUCGUGAAUUACUUACGAGGCCACAUGCGAGGAACAACCUUGGGAACAGGGGGUUUACAGGAGAGUCAGGUUUCGAUCCCGUGGAACUGUGGGUUAUGGGCCCACCAUGUGGGUUAAAAGUAGGAAGGUGGUGACGAUUUGCACAAUCAUGUAAGCAAGGAAUGCCGGAGGAUAGCAUGUCAGUUAUGUCGGCAACAACAUCGGUACCAAGGGCGAGGGACGAAGAGAACCUUUUUCCUGUUCGUUGAACGAGGCGGACCAAUAGGCAAAGUUCUCGUCCACCGGUGGUUACCGCAAUGCUAUCGACAAAUGCAACAGGGUCUUACUAACACGGUUGUACACCAAGGUGUUUGCAUAAGCAGAAGAAUAUUACUGCUUAGAUCAUAUGGAUCACAAGGAAGAUUAAACAAAUCAACGGAAAGGAAAAUGUGAUCAUCAGAUCAAAUAGAACAAAGGAAAGGAAAAUGUGUUUAAACACAUAUUCCAGGGGUAUAUCUUUCCCAAGGACAAGCAGAGCAUGAUAUCCAUGACAGGAUAGAAAGCAGAAAACCCUUUAGGUAAGGGGAGAGAAAUUUCAUGACAUUAGCCAUACAAGGGUGUUUGGAUAAUUGAGCAAGAAACAUUUAGCAUUAGGCUUCAAAUGUUCUUGUUAAAAAUCGGAGUACCACAGACAUGCUUCGAGGUAGCAUUGACAUGGUCUUCAAGCAAGGGUCGAAUUUGGAUACACAAAGGAUUCAUCAGGAACAACUUAUAGAAUAACUCUUACAAUUUCCUCAUGGAAGAAUGGUUAAUCCUGCUAAAAAGAAACUAUAACAAUAAGUCCUCCGGCCAGGUGUGCUAGGCAUGACAUCACCUUAUCGGAUUAAAGACCAAUGUUAUAACUCUUGGGAAUAUGUUCCAACCAUCAUAUCUGACCGAGAUUCAGAUCUGAUUGGUGUCAGGAUACCUCAGACUCAGGAUGCCCGAGAAGAAAGGUGCAACACAAAUUGUCGAGAUGACAUUGUAAGAUUCUCGGGAAUUGAAAUAUGGAAGGAAGUUCCGAAUCAUGAGUUCAUCAUUAAACAAGGAGAGGAUAAGAAGGUGGCUGAUGAACUUAGUGACAAUUCAUUGAGAUUUCCAAAAGAUGGAUCUCCACAAUUAGGCGAACAAGGAGAUAACAUUUGUCAGAUCAAAUGAUAUAAUGAGGUAUGCUCAAGGAAAACAACUCAAUUAAAUAUUGGUUGAAAGGUGCACCCAAAAUAUGGGCUUAGGUAGCGUGAACAAUGUUAAAAUGGUGAUUCGACAACCAAUGGUCUAAGAAUGAAAUGUCGACCAUUAACUUCAAAGCAAUAGGGUUGCUAGAAGUUUUUGAUUCGCACAUCAUAGUUCAAUUGUCGGUUUUAUGAUUAGAAACAACACGAGGACCAAGGAAUGAACAGAGAUGGCAAGAGGUGGUGAAAUUCUCACGACAUUCUUAGCAUAAAGAUGGUAAUACUCCAAGGUAAAGAAGAACAAAUGCUGGGUAGCAAGGAUCUCAAGGUAUACACAAAACACGAACAAGUUUGUGUUGAAUGGAAGACAAUAAAGUGGUCGAUGAUAACACAAAUCAUCGAGGGAAGGAUGGUAUUUCUCAUCAUGAAUUCGACUGUAUCCUGGAAGGAGUUAAAAUGUUGAUGAUGAUCACGACAAAUUUUGUCGAGAGGCUCCAUGAAGAUGCAAUCGCUCGGCGAUGACAUCAAGCCAAGGGAAUGGUGAAGCAAAAGGCUAUUAUAACCAUAGAUAAGAUGUCAUCUCAGAAUUAGAGUUGUCUCUCAAGACAAACAAUAUGAUGGUGAAAGUUCGAUGUAAGCUUAGAGCACUGUCGGGAUUGUGUCCCGAGGAUGAAGGACAUAGCUAGAAUGGUCAAGCAGUCAACCUGACGAUGAUGAUGUAGUCAAUCAGCUGGGAAUGACACGAUCAAGUACAAACUCGUAAGCAAUGAAGAUUACUAAGAGUUGUUGAAUCGCAGUGCGGACUCGAUUCAGUUAUCGGUGUCCUCGAGUGUUUAAUGACUUAGAGCCCGUGAAAAAAUUGGAAUCAGUGAGAAUGUGGUACUUGAUGGAGAACUCAUAAGAAGUUAUGCAGUUCCGUGAUAAUCUCGAGUUACCAAGGUGUAAUACUCGGCGAAAGAUCAAAGUAAAGGUUGGACUGGUGUAUUGAUCCACAGAAGACAAGUGCUUAAACUUGCCCGAGAAAUGGGAUCAAAGAAGAACAUAUGGUCGGAACCAUGAUUGCAAAGGAUCAAUUCACCGAUACCAAAGGAUAUUACAUCAAGGAAAUAGUUAUUAUUACAAGAAGCUUCCAGGAUAGGAUCUACAUCGUGUCCAUGGGCAUGAACACAAAGGUUCAAGGUCGACUCCCACUUCCUCAAUGUAUAACCUUCCAUUCACCUCUCGUUUUUUCGAAAAUUGACAUUAGUUGUUGAAAGUUUUACCUGGUGCAAUACCAGAUAAGUAUGACCCGUGAAAUCUUUCGGGUUCACACAGAAUAGUGAAGGUGUUGGUUCAACCCAUCGAGGCAUCUUAGGAACAUAUGACACAAGCUUCAAGAAUAAAUAUCACCAGCUCAAAAGUAGAGUAUGGUUAUCAAGCAGAGGAUACAAAUUACCAAAGGCAUUAUAUAUCCAUGGAAAUGAUCACAAGGUUAUUGAAUAUGAAGGACACUGUCGGAUAAUAACCCAACAAGGGGUCUUGUGGUCUACAACGGAGCUAAUGCGAGUAUCGGUGCUCUAUGAGAGGAAGAAGGAACGAAAGGGCAUCGGACUAUAAAAACAACUGAGUAAUUCAAAGCUCAAAUGCAAAGGAAUUAUCAUUUCCAAUUCAAGGGAUCAGAAGCCAAUGGUCUGAUUAAGAAUGGAUAAGUUGAAUAGACUUAGGGGUACAAUCGACGGCAAUUUGGUUGGUCGAUAACCAGUUCACGUUUCAAAUGACGUCUGAGCCGGAAGGAUCAAUUCUAGGCUCUGAUUGAGGAUUGCGAGCAUUCGCAACAAAUUGAAUCAACGGACUCAAAAUGAUAAUGACAAGAGAUGCCAAUAAGAUUACGAGACUUAAGAUUAAUCAUAAUGCAAGUAAGCAAGAAGUUCAAGAGCAAAAGGCUCCUGAGGAUUUUCGGAAGAUCGAAUGGUAUUUUGAACACUUUUGUGAAAUACCUGAAUCAACUGGGGAUGAGCGGAUACUUGGUAAGUGCGAGAAUUAUCCGUAGGGCUAUUUAGGUGACAAAGAACAGCAAGGCAGUAAGCUCAAAGGAUUCUCGGAACAACAGAGAGAAUUUCGGGGUAUCUUGUAAUAACAAGAUCAACUGGGAAACAUUGUAUGAAUGGCGAGUAUACGUGGUUAUCCAUAGGAGUUUAUCGAUGAAAGGGAAUUGCAAAAGUGAUGAACACAAGUUCUCGGGUUAUCAGCGGAGAGUAUCUUCAAGGUCUUCACGUGCGGCAGACGAUCAUCAGAAAUAAGGAGCUCUCCGGGUGAAAGUGAUAACGAGAUCCUAAUGUUAGAUUUAGCAAAAUUCACUUAACCCGAAUAGAAGAGAGAUCAGAGUCCCAGAGUAUAGGUCGAGAAAUAAAAGAUCCUAAUACCACCCAAUGGCGACGUGGGCCCGUAAGCCACACAACCAUGUUAGUAAAAGUUUGGCAAUUGACUAGACUCAACUUCGGCCAAGGAGUGUGGAAGGGGGAUUCCUACAAGCAGUUGGCUCUGAUACCAACUUGUGACGCCCCUGAUUUGACCGUACACUAAUCAUGCACGCAAACGUGUACGAUCAAGAUCAGGGACUCACGGAAAGAUAUCACAACACAACUCUAAAACAUAAAUAAGUCAUACAAGCAUCAUAAUACAAGCCAGGGGCCUCGAGGGCUCGAAUACAAGUGCUCGAUCAUAGACGAGUCAGCGGAAGCAACAAUAUCUGAGUACAGACAUAAGUUAAACAAGUUUGCCUUAAGAAGGCUAGCACAAAAGUAGCAACGAUCGAAAAGGCAAGGCCUCCUGCCUGGGACCUCCUAACUACUCCUCGAAGCCGAACUCCAUGUAGAAUCAUCCUCGGGAUCUCUAGCUCCUGGACUCCAGCAUCUGGUUGCGACAACCAGGUAUAGAAAGGGGAAAAGACGGAGAAAAGCAACCGUGAGUACUCAUCCAAAGUACUCGCAAGCAAGGAGCUACACUACAUAUGCAUGGGUAUAUGUGUAAAGGGCCAUAUCGGUGGACUGAACUGCAGAAUGCCAGAAUAAGCGGGGAUAGCUAAUCCCGUCGGAGACUACGCUUCUGGCCACCUCCAUCUUGCAGCAUGUAGAAGAGAGUAGAUGGUAAGUUCACCAAGUAGCAUCGCAUAGCAUAAUCCUACCCGGCGAUCCCCUCCUCGUUGCCCUGUUAGAGAGCGAUCACCGGGUUGUAUCUGGCACUUGGAAGGGUGUGUUUUAUUAAGUAUCCAGUUCUAGUUGUCAUAAGGUCAAGGUACAACUCCGGGUCGUCCUUUUACCGAGGGACACGGCUAUUCGAAUAGAUAAACUUCCCUGCAGGGGUGCACCACAUAACCCAACACGCUCGAUCCCAUUUGGCCGGACACACUUUUCCGGGUCAUGCCCGGCCUCGUAAGAUCAACACGUCGCAGCCCCACCUAGGCACAACAGAGAGGUCAGCACGCCGGUCUAAAUCCUAUGGCGCAGGGGUCUGGGCCCAUCGCCCAUUGCACACCUGCACGUUGCGAGGGCGGCCGGAAGCAGACCUAGCCUAGCAGGCGUUCCAGUCCAAUCCGGCGCGCGCCGCUCCGUCGCUGACGUCAUGAAGGCUUCGGCUGAUACCACGACGUCGAGUGCCCAUAACUGUUCCCGCGUAGCUGGUUAGUGCGUAUAGACCAAAUGGCCAGACUCAGAUCAAAUACCAAGAACUCGUUAAGCGUGUUAUUUUAAGUAUCCGCGGACGCCGACCAGGGCCAGGCCCACCUCUCUCCUAGGUGGACUCAACCUGCCGUGUCGCUCCGCCACAAAGUAGCAGUCGGGGGCCGUCAGGAACCCAGGCCCACCUCUACCGGGAUGGAGCCACCUGUCCUUUCUGCCCCCUCAUCAGAACCACUUGCGGGUACUCAACGAGCCGACCCGACUUUAGUCACCACAUGUGUCAUGUAUAUAAAGUAUAUAGUAUAUACUCGUGAUCACCUCCCGAAGUGAUCACGGCCCAGUAGUAUAGCAUGGCAGAUGGACAAGAGUGUAGGGCCACUGAUGGAACACUAGCAUCCUAUACUAAGCAGUAGGAUAGCAGGUAAGGGUAACAACUGUAGCAACAAUGACAGGCUAUGCAUCAGUAUAGGAUUAACCGAAAGCAGUAAGAUGCUACACUACUCUAAUGCAAGCAGUAUAGAGAAGGAAUUGGCGAUAUCUGGUGAUCAAGGGGGGGGCUUGCCUGGUUGCUCUGGCAAGAAUGGGUCAUCGGUGACGUAGUCGUACUCAGUCGCAUCAACGCCGGUCUCGGGGUCUACCGGAGAGGAAGAGGGGGGAAGAAACAGUAAAUACGGAUCAAACAAGCAUCACAAAAUAUAACGAGGCAAUACGCCGUGCUAGGGGUGACCUAACGCGGUAGUAAAUGAUACUGGUGAAAGGGGGAAACAUCCGGGAAAGUAUUCACGGUGUUUCGCGUUUUCGGACAGUCGAACCGGAGGGGGAUUGUUGCAUGUUCGCUAUGCUAGGGACGUGUGGCGGGCGAACAAACUGCGUAUUCGGAUUCGUCUCGUCGUUCUGAGCAACUUUCAUGUAUAAAUUCUUUUAAUCCGGGUUACGGUUUAUUUUAUAUUAAUUCUUCAAGUUUAAAUUAAUUUCUGAAAUUAAUUUAAUUCGAAAAUGAAAUAAAAAUGCCCACCCAGCAAUAGAGACUAACACAUGGGUCCAGUCAACUGCCCAGUCAACAGUUGACUGGGUCAACAUUGACUGGUCAAGGGGCGCUGGGGUCCCACCUAUCACUGACUGGGACUGACCAGUCAGCAAGUUUGACUGGUCAAAAGACCAGUGGGACCCAUGUGUUAGUGAGACAUUUGAUUAACAGAUUGUUUUGUUUUUCAUUUUAAGUAAACUAACUGGUUGUGGGCCCUGCUGUCAGUGACUAAUUAAUGGGGUUGUUGGUUAGUACUAAUUGGGGUUAGCCCUAAUAGAUUUUGGGCCGGCGUGGUGGCACAUCCAGCCGUGAGGCUCUGCACACACACAUACACGCACACAUAGCAGAAGCCAUACUCGGCCAUGGCCUUGGCCAUGGCCAACCCCAAGCAGCAGCGCAGCGGCAAGAUGCAGGAGAGCAGAGAGCAGCGGCAACGCAUAGCAGCAGCAGCACUAGCAGACCGAGCAGCUGUACGAGCAAAGCGGCAGCACGCAGAGCAGCAGAAGCACGCGAGUAGCAGUAGCAGUGCAAGCAGCAAGCAGCUGCGGCUGCGGGCGUGCGCGAGGCCCAAGGGCGUGGGCGCGGGCUGGCGAGCGGCCGGACGGGCGCGCGCAAGCGGCAGCAGGCGCACGUGGGCGCGGGCUGGCACGCACGGCGGGGCACAGUGUAAGGGUGCGGCCACGGCGACCUCAAGGCAACGUCAUACGGCAACGGAUCGAGACCGGGGCAAAGGGGAUUUGGAAGAGGAGCUCACAACGAGCUCGGGUGCGCGGUCGAGGAAGCCGGGGGUGGACCGAAGCGGUGGGAAUCGACGAUGGCGGUCCGUGAUGUACGCAACGAAGACGACGGCGAUGGCAAGCGCGCGAGCCGCCCCGGCUCGAUUCGAUGCUCGGGAUGGAUGAAGUUGACCGCAACGGACCUCUUGGACAUCUCCUCCCGCAAUGAAGACAACGGUGGCCGCGGCAACGGUGACGACGAGCACGGUCACCGUGGAGCUCCCGAACUCGAAAACAAGCAGAAGAGGAAGGGGGGCGACGGGGAAGAAAAUGGGGAAAGGAAGAGGGCGAACUAGGGUUUCCGUUGGGCGUGUUUACAGGCCAAGGGGGGCACGUGGAGGCCAUCCAUGGCUAUGGUGGCUGGAUGCACGCCACAGCCUCCCCUGCCCCCUGUAGCCUGAGCAAAGGGAUAGCCUAGGUGAUUCGGGCUGGUUUCUGUAGUUAGCUGGGCCAAACUACCCAGUACCACUUCUCUCUUUUCUGUUUUCCUUUAGCUAGUCUUUUUUGUUUUUCUUUAUUUCUUUACUACUCUUCAUUUUAAUUGAGUGACCAAAUGAAUUUAGUAGAAUGUGAAACAUUGCACAAAAAUCCAGGGCAAUAUUGUUGAGCCACACACAAGUUUGCAGAAUAUUUGGUAAAUGAUAAUUAUUUUUAGAGUUCAAAGUGGCCAAGUUAUGUGCUGUCGGACCACUUAUUAAUUUGUUAAGGGCAUUUUUAUAAUUCAACUUAGGUUGGUUAAUCCAUCACAAUUUCUUAUUGAAUAUUUUCCACACAACGAACAUUUUUGUUUUACUGUUGAAGAAAUAAAAUUUUGUCUUGCAAUUUAAAUUUCAACUUGGCUUUGAUUUGGGACAAAGCGAUGAUUAACAAAAUAAUUGUGAUGACUUGGAAGUCAUUAGCAGGAAGUUACCGCAGCAUGAUUAUCGGGGUGUUACAUCAUCAUAGACAUCUCAAACUUCUCCGACAUUAGCUUUCCAAACUUCGCACUAAAGUGAGGGUUAGUCGAACCAAAUAUAAUAUCAUCAACAUAGAUUUGGC